AUCAAAAACAUAGCUUGAUGUAUCCAUAUUAAGUUAAUUCUGCUCGGUGAACUAAAAUUUAAACAGCCGCAGUACACUGACUGUGCUAAGGUAGCAUAAUAAAUUGGCUUAUAAUUGAAGUCUAGUAUGAACGAAAUUUAAUGGGUAGUGACUGUCUCUUUUUAAAAUUUAUUGAACUUAUUUAGGUGGUGAAAAUCCCACCAAUUUAAAAGAAAGACGAGAAGACCCUUAGAAUUUUUAUAAAAGUGGUUCAAUUAUUAUUUAUAUUAGCUGGGGCGGCUUUGUGUCAGUUAACACACAUAAAAUUAUUUUACAUAAAUUUUUUAUGAAAAAAGAUUAAUUACCUAAGGGAUAACAGCAUAAUCUUUUUUAGGUUUGUGACCUCGAUGUUGGAUUAGGGUCUGUUUUGGUUAGCCGCCAAAGUAGAAAGUUCUGUUCGAACUUGUUUUACCUACAUGAUCUGAGU
rnacentral:rRNA from 1 species